AGUUUAUAUUGUACAACCAUAGGCAUGCCCGAUCUCAGGAAGCCAAGCAAGAUUUGACCUGGUUAGUACUUGGAAUAGGAGACCAGGGGAAUAGCAGGUGCUGUAAGCUU
rnacentral:rRNA from 1 species